UGCCAGCCGCCGCGGUAAUACGGAGGGUGCAAGCGUUGUUCGGAUUUACUGGGCGUAAAGAGCGCGUAGGCGGCUUCAUAAGUUAAGGGUGAAAUCCCGGGGCUUAACUCCGGAACUGCUCUUAAAACUGUGGAGCUAGAGACAAUCAGAGGUGGGUGGAAUUCCAGGUGUAGAGGUGAAAUCCGUAGAUAUUCGGAGGAACACCAGUGGCGAAGGCGGCUUUCUGGACCGAUACUGACGCUGAGACGCGAAAGCGUGGGGAGCGAACAGGAUUAGAUA
rnacentral:rRNA from 1 species